CGCGCAGGCGGCCUUUUAAGUUGGAUGUGAAAGCCUACGGCUCAACCGUAGAACUGCAUCCAAAACUAUUGGGCUAGAGUGUGGGAGAGGAAGAUGGAAUUAGUUGUGUAGGGGUAAAAUCCGUAGAGAUAACUAGGAAUACCAAAAGCGAAGGCAAUCUUCUGGAACAUUACUGACGCUGAGGCGCGAAAGCGUGGGGAGCGAACAGGAUUAGAUACCCUGGUAGUCC
rnacentral:rRNA from 1 species